rnacentral:rRNA from 1 species
GACGUAGGGCGCGAGCGUUGUCCGGAUUUAUUGGGCGUAAAGAGCUCGUAGGCGGCUUGUUGCGUCGACUGUGAAAACCUGCAGCUUAACUGUGGGCGUGCGGUCGAUACGGGCAUCACUGGAGUUCGGCAGGGGAGACUGGAAUUCCUGGUGUAGCGGUGAAAUGCGCAGAUAUCAGGAGGAACACCGGUGGCGAAGGCGGGUCUCUGGGCCGAUACUGACGCUGAGGAGCGAAAGCGUGGGGAGCAAACAGG